rnacentral:rRNA from 1 species
AAACCAACAGGGAUUGCCUUAGUAGCGGCGAGUGAAGCGGCAAAAGCUCAAAUUUGAAAUCUGGCUCUUUCAGAGUCCGAGUUGUAAUUUGAAGAAGGUAUCUUUGGGCCUGGCUCUUGUCUAUGUUUCUUGGAACAGAACGUCACAGAGGGUGAGAAUCCCGUGCGAUGAGAUGACCCAGGUCUAUGUAAAGUUCCUUCGACGAGUCGAGUUGUUUGGGAAUGCAGCUCUAAGUGGGUGGUAAAUUCCAUCUAAAGCUAAAUAUUGGCGAGAGACCGAUAGCGAACAAGUACAGUGAUGGAAAGAUGAAAAGAACUUUGAAAAGAGAGUGAAAAAGUACGUGAAAUUGUUGAAAGGGAAGGGCUUGAGAUCAGACUUGGUAUUUUGCAUGUUGUUCCCUCGGGGGCGGCCUCUGCGUUUUACCGGGCCAGCAUCAGUUUGGGCGGUAGGACAAUCGCGCGGGAACGUGGCACGGCCUCGGCUGUGUGUUAUAGCCCGUGUGGAUACUGCCAGCCUAGACUGAGGACUGCGGUUUAUACCUAGGAUGUUGGCAUAAUGAUCUUAAGUCGC